UACGGGGGGGGCAAGCGUUGUUCGGAAUUACUGGGCGUAAAGGGCUCGUAGGCGGCCAACUAAGUCGGAUGUGAAAUCCCCAGGCUUAACCUGGGAAUUGCAUCCGAUACUGGAUGGCUUGAAUCCGGGAGAGGGAUGCGGAAUUCCACGUGUAGCAGUGAAAUGCGUAGAGAUGUGGAGGAACACCGAUGGCGAAGGCAGCCCCCUGGGUCAAGACUGACGCUCAUGCACGAAAGCGUGGGGAGCAAACAGG
rnacentral:rRNA from 1 species